UGAAAAUGGUAAGAGAGGCUAGAGCAAAACCUUCCAAUUUAAGGAGAUAUAAGGGAUAUCAUAAUUACAAAAUAGAGAUGGCGAUCUUUAUCAAUAAUUUAACACAGUCCUCUUGAGGACUAGAAACUCUAUUUGCAGCUGAAGUUUGAGUACAAGAGCAAAUAUUUGGAAUAUUUGCAGCUGCAAGGGUUUGAAAAACUUGGCCAAGGAAGCAGUGAUUUUACACAUAAUUCUUGCAGGUGUAUGAAUAUGAAAGAAUAUUGAUCAGUAAGAACUCAUAUCAACUGAUGGGACAGGUAAAAUAUUGGAAAAGGGUUUUCCUGCACUGAAAAAAGAUUGACCUCAAACACUAUAAAAGGAGAGAGCUUUGGUUUCAAAUUGUCUAAGAAAUAUUUUGAAUUCUCUAGUUUGUCUAUUUGGGUGUACUAGCCGACUCUAGGUAAAUAUUCUUUUUGAAUUUUCUAGUUUGAGAGUGGAAUUAGGAUAUGAUGUUGAUGAUAAACUUUUGUGAUUGUAUCAACUUUUUGCGUAAGAAUUUUUUCUUUUUCCGGAGGGCCGUUCUUUUUCCUGUUUGGGAACUUACCAUGUAAAUAGUUACAUGCGUUUCUAAUUUUUAUCAUUUUUUUUAA